rnacentral:rRNA from 1 species
CAUUUGUCUUUUAAAUGGAGACUCGUAUGAACGGCGAAACCUUUUUCAACUGUCUCCCCUCCCACCCUUUUAAAUUUCUUCCUGUGUGAAGAAGCACAGAUAUAUUAGAAAGACGAGAAGACCCUGUCGAGCUUUAGUCACCAAGUGGACCGCUUCCUUUUAAGGUACCACCUAAAGGCUUUGGUUGGGGCAACCAUGGAGAAAAAAAAUCCUCCAGAACAAAUAGAAGAAAACGCUUCACUAUUUAUUAAAAUUAAGAACCAGGAACUGGUAUUCGGAAAAAGUUACCGCAGGGAUAACAGCGUCAUCUCCUCUAAGAGUCCUUAUUGACGAGGAGGUUUGCGACCUCGAUGUUGGAUUGGGGCCCCCUUAGGGUGCAGAAGCUCUAAACGGUUAGACUGUUCGUCUAUUAAAGCCCUACAUGAUCUGAGUUCAAACCGGAG